CCUGGUGGCGCAGUGGUUGAGAGUCUGCCUGCCGAUGCAGGGGACGCGGAUUCGUGCCCCGAUCCGGGAAGAUCCCACAUGCCGCGGAGUGGCUGGGCCCGUGAGCCAUGGCCGCUGAGCCUGCGCGUCCGGAGCCUGUGCUCCGCAACGGGAGAGGCCACAACAGUGAGAGGCCCGUGUACCGUAAAAAAAAAAAAAAAAACAACAACUCCGUUUUAAUUUAAUUUUUCUUGAGGUAACAUUGGUUACCGCCUCUCAGCUCGAAAUUCACUCUUUUGUUACUUGCUCUGUGAAAAGUGCUAUGGGUCCUUUAAAUAGUUUUUCCUUGGCCAGCCCGUGGGAUGUUAGGCUUUCCUAAUUGAUGGCACCUGAGGAAGGUGUUGCUUCGUGAUGCCCCGGUGCUUGCUGGGAAGGCUCUUGGUGGCGUCUUCAGCACCCACUCACUCCUGCAGCUCCGAGGGCGUCCUCAGCCCUGCUCCCGGGGCUCACAACUUCUCCGGUAGUCGGCUUCAGCAGUGCGCAGAGAGACGGAAGCUGUCGUCUUCCGUCAGCAUCUUCUAUCAAGCAGUUUUGGAGUAGCGCCUCAGAUGAAGACACUGAGGAAGAGAAAAGUUAAGAAUUUGCCUAUGAUCAGUUAUCCAUCUGUUCAGCCAGUGCACAAAUUACACUGCCCAACUCCAAGAUCAGACUAAACCUGCAGCCUCACAGGAGCUGAGAACAUAUUUAUUCUUUAUCUUUUACUUCAGACGCUCAGCAGGAAGGUAACACACUUUGAAUGAAAAAGGACAAUUCAAGUUAGGUUGGUGCUUUGCCUAAGCCAGAAAGGUUUAGGGAGAGAAAUUGAGGAUGAAGAACACAAGAGACAAGCUUUUUCCUUUUCUUUUUUUUAACCUCUCAUGGUUUGACUUAAUUCUAUUAUUUGAAUGAUUUUGAAUUGAUUUGGACACACCCACAUUUAAA